CAAGCUCAAACAGCGAAGAGACAGAUUGACGGACAUCUAAAAGAAAAAGAGAGUGAGUAGUGGACAAAAGGUGAGGAACUGGUAAGUGAAAGUUGUGAGGACAGAUAGUGUCAGUGAGAUAAGCGUGUUCGAGAUAAAGGAGAAUAUAUAGUUGGACACUGACAGAGAGGUGGGGAAAUUAAAAAGGGGGAGGAGCCAAAGAUUGAACCAAGAGCAUGUGUGGGGAAUAUAAAAGCAAAUCUAGUACAUGCUGGUUUGAUGUUAUAGAGUUUAAAAAGCACAGUUGCUGUUGUUGUAUAGAGGUGAAUAAUAAUGAACUCUCUUGAACUAUUUUAGCAGACCGACAAAAUAAAAAAUGAUUUCAUGGUUCAUCUGCUGAAUCCCUUUUCUAACUUAAGGUUGGAAUUGUGGGAUAUGGACAUUUAGGUGAGUUCUCCAAAGAAAACCUAUAUUUCAACAGCUACAACUUUCUCUGCUUUGAUUAAAUUUGCACUUUAUUAUAACCUGAAAUCCUGACUGCCAUAGUAUUUAUAUUUAUUUCAUAAUGAUUAUCAGUUGCGUUGGAUAAGUAACUGUCCUGGAUCAUGUUUUCGCCUUCCUCAGGUGGGCAACCCUUCUGCCCUCUCUGACCCCCAGCAUGAGCAAGAUCUUCGCACUGUUGCAAAACGGCUCUCUCCAUCCAAAUGUCUAAACAUCCCUCUUGCUUUCGGCUUGCUGGUGGUCUGCUCUCUGAUUGGACGGAGAUUAGUCUCUGAUUGGAGACAGGACUGGAGAAAUCAUCUCGGAUACUAUUAUCAGACUACCAUAUUGUGGACACUAAGGUCCAGAUGGGUUCACAGUGAAAAUGGUGCGGCUAAACCCUGCCAAACUGGGAGCUGUAACAGGAAAUGCCACAUACAAUUCCUUCUGGAGCAGCUUACUUGGUAUGAGUGUGUAAGAAAGACAGAUGUUGUUAACUGACAGAGUGCAUAGCCAAAAAAACAACAAUCUGGAUUUACACAGAGAAUGCAGACAUAAACUGCCUUUGGAACUGUCCUCUUUGCUUUCUGUCCUGCUACAAUUUCACGAAAAGUCCAAAAAUGGUACAUGACUAUGCCAUUAAAUAUCUCUCUGUCUUAUUAUAUAUUUUAUCUGAAAUUCUGUUUGCCUUUUUUCAGUCUGCAAGGGUCAUGGAGGGAGGGUACAACUGUGUAUUGAUAACAGUGAACUGCUGCAGAAAGUUAACCGAAGAAAAACACACGAUGAAUUAAUAAAACAAGUGUCAUGGUAACAAUGUAGUAGAUUUUAAUUUCAGUUUUACAGUCUUGACAGACAUGACAAACUCUAACAGUGUUGGUGUAUAUUUGUAUUACAGUACUAAUGAUGUUCCAGUGUAUGCAUUUGGCUGGUUAGCUUUACCUUCAUCACUUGCUUGUCAUUUAACUUAAACCAGUUUUUUUUUUUAUAACCCUGGACAAUUGCUGGAUAGUCACCAUGUUUGUGACAUUACAUAAUACUGUGAAGGGAAAUCUGCCACUGAGUAAAAGAUGUUUUCAGAAAACAGUAUAUUCUGUCAUUUACUCAAUCUAAAGUCUUUUAAAAGAUUUAUGAAUUUUUUGCUUUCGUGAAACACAAAGGGAAAAGUUUAGCUCUUUGAAAUAAGCACAAUGAAAAUGAAUAAUGA